CGUUCUUCAACCAAACCUGGUCUCCGAGGUCCAAAAUAAUUGUGUUUGUCCCUUACAAAGAAACUAAAUUAGGUCCUCCAGAGGUCUCACUGGUCGGAUAUGAAAACUACAUCCAGAUCAACAUUUCACUGCCUUGGCCCGAUGACCUGCCAAACUUUCCCAGUAUCCAGCAUUAUAACGGCUUCAGAGUCUCAUUUCGGAUCGGAACCGAUGGAGAAAUCCAGACGCUGGAAACAGAAAAUAAAAGUUUUAUCCUUGAAAACUUAAAGAAAGGGGCGGAGUACUGCAUAGAGGUGAAGCUCAACACCAGAGAACUAAACCAUGAGCCGUCUGCCUGGAAGUGCACCUUCACCACGGCGGUGGACCAGCAGAGAGGUGAGCUGAUGUGCAGCCGGUAAGGCGGGCGUUGUUGCUGAAUCAGAGCAUAAUGAGCUGCCACAAUUCAUCUGCCUCCUUAUCUGUGUAAAUAUGCAGAGGGAGUAAUUACUAACACAUGCCAGGGCUGCCCCUCUCGCCAGUGGGACUCCUCCCCCAGCCACCUGCUCCACCCAUCCCUCCCACAGCACAGCCACAAACCACA